GUGCCAGCCGCCGCGGUAAUACCGGCAGCCCGAGUGAUGGCCGAUAUUAUUGGGCCUAAAGCGUUCGUAGCCGGCCAGACAAGUCUGUUGGGAAAUCCACGCGCUCAACGCGUGGGCGUCCAGCGGAAACUGUGUGGCUUGGGGCCGGAGGAAUCGAGGGGUACGUCCGGGGUAGGAGUGAAAUCCCGUAAUCCUGGACGGACCACCGGUGGCGAAAGCGCCUCGAGAGGACGUACCCGACAGUGAGGAACGAAAGCCAGGGUCUCGAGCCGGAUUAGAAACCCUAGUAGUCC
rnacentral:rRNA from 1 species